UCCCCUACACCCCAGCAGUCAAACCGUACAAGAAAAAGUCGUGUUUCUGUGUCUCCAGGGAGAACUUCAGGUAAAGUGACAAAACAUAAAGGUACUGAGAAAAGAGAAUCCCCUUCACCAGCACCGAAGCCUAGAAAAGUAGAGUUAUCUGAAUCGGAAGAUAAAGGUGGCAAAAUGGCUGCAGCAGAUUCUGUGCAGCAGAGACGCCAAUACAGACGACAAAACCAGCAGUCUUCAUCUGACUCUGGCUCCUCCUCCUCCUCAGAAGAUGAACGACCCAAGAGAUCCCAUGUGAAGAAUGGUGAGGUUGGCAGGCGGCGGAGACAUUCCCCUUCCCGGAGUGCUUCUCCAUCACCACGAAAGCGCCAAAAAGAGACUUCCCCUCG
rnacentral:lncRNA from 1 species